rnacentral:rRNA from 1 species
GACGAACGCUGGCGGCGUGCUUAACACAUGCAAGUCGAACGGUAAGGCCCUUCGGGGUACACGAGUGGCGAACGGGUGAGUAACACGUGGGUGAUCUGCCCUGCACUUCGGGAUCAGACUGGGAAACUGGGUCUAAUACCGGAAAGGACUCCUGGCUUCAUGGUAGGGGGGGGACAGCUUUUGGGGUCUGGGAUGGGCCCGGGGCCGGUCGGCUUGUUGGUGGGGUAAUGGGCUACCAAGGCGACGAAGGGUAGCCGGCCUGGGAGAGUAACCGGACACACUGGGACUGAGAUACGGCCCAGACUCCUACGGGAGGCAGCAGUGGGGAAUAUUGCACAAUGGGCGCAAGCCUGAUGCAGCGACGCCGCGUGAGGGAUGACGGCCUUCGGGUUGUAAACCUCUUUCAGCUAUGACGAAGCGCAAGUGACGGUAGUAGCAGAAGAAGGACCGGCCAACUACGUGCCAGCAGCCGCAGUAA